AUUGAACGCUGGCGGCAGGCUUAACACAUGCAAGUCGAGCGAGCGGCGGACGGGUGUGUAAAGUCCGGGAAACUGCCUGCUGGAGGGGGAUAACUACUGGAAACGGUAGCUAAUACCGCAUACCAUCAGAUGUGCCCCGAUGGGAUUAGCUAGUGGGUGGGGUAACGGCUCACCUAGGCGACGAUCCCUAGCUGGUCUGAGAGGAUGACCAGCCACACUGGAAUUGAGACACGGUCCGGACUCCUACGGGAGGCAGCAGUGGGGAAUAUCGCACAAUGGGCGCAAGCCUGAUGCAGCCAUGCCGCGUGUGUGAAGAAGGCCUUCGGGUUGUAAAGCACUUUCAGCGGGGAGGCGUUACCCGCAGAAGAAGCACCGGCUAACUCCGUGCCAGCAGCCGCGGUAAUUC
rnacentral:rRNA from 1 species